GAGACAACUGGUAGUGACUCCUCCCAGAAAGACAAUGGAAAGGAGCAGAACAGAAGCUCCGAGGGCGUCUUCAGGGAACGGAAGUAGAGGGCGCUGUUCACUGGUGCCUUUGAGAUCAGGUUUUCUGAGACAAUGUAAAGGACCUCCAUGAAUGGAGGAUCAGCAACCUGGAACCCUGGAUGUGCCAGACACCCUGUCUCUUCUGACCAGACAUUUGCUCUACCUCCUUAGUUCAGGGAACAAGAGAAUGCAUGCUUGUAGCACUUCUCAAAACUUUUGUCCAGAUCCCUGACAAGACAGUUUUAAUUGCUCAUUGGUUUUCUGUACCAUCAGCAGGGAUGACAAUUUCCUCUUCCCCACCAGCUCACCAGCGGUUGGUAUAUAUUCUUUCUAUCUGUAUCUAUUACGAAGAGGACUGA
rnacentral:lncRNA from 1 species